rnacentral:rRNA from 1 species
UACGGGAAGGCAGCAGUGGGGAAUAUUGCACAAUGGGCGAAAGCCUGAUGCAGCUAUGCCGCGUGUAUGAAGAAGGCCUUAGGGUUGUAAAGUACUUUCAUCGGGGAGGAAAAAACAAAACUAAUAAUUUUAUUUCUUGACGUUACCCGAAAAAGAAGCACCGGCUAACUCCGUGCCAGCAGCCGCGGUAAUACGGAGGGUGCUAGCGUUAAUCAGAAUUACUGGGCGUAAAGAGCACGUAGGUGGUUUUUUAAGUCAGAUGUGAAAUCCCUGGGCUUAACCUAGGAACUGCAUUUUGAAACUGAAAUACUAGAGUAUCGUAGAGGGAGGUAGAAUUCUAGGUGUAGCGGUGAAAUGCGUAGAUAUCUGGAGGAAUACCUGUGGCGAAAGCGGCCUCCUAAACGAAUACUGACACUGAGGGUGCGAAAGCGUGGGGAGCGAAACAGGAUUAGAUACC